UACGUGAAACCGUUCAGGGGUAAACCUAAGAAACCCAAAAGAUCGAACGGGGAGAUUUAUCGUCGGCGACGCUGGCUUCGCGUCGAUGGGCGAUGUCCCGCGGGGACUCGCGGCUCGCGCGCGGGCACGCUGCCGUGCGUCGAUGUCCGGCGUUCGUCGUCGUGCACUUCUCCCCUAGUAGAACGUCGCGACCCGCUGGGUGUCGGUCUACGGCCCGGGUGCGGUGACUGACGCGUCGCCGGUAAAACGGCACGCGUCAAACCCCCGGUUGCCCGGCCGGCUUCCCGGCGGUACACGCAAGGUAUCAGGCCGUACAUCGUGAGAAUUCUCACAGAGUAGUCCUGGCCCGCUGUUGGUCGUUCGGUUAACCUUCGACAGGCCUGCUCACGUCUCUCUUGUGGGAGGACCAGGGGACCGAUACCGGGGGGACCGAUACUACUGCUUUGGGUACUCUUAGGAUCCGUCUUGAAACACGGACCAAGGAGUCUAACAUGUACGCGAGUCAUUGGGACUUAGCGAUACCUAAAGGCGUAAUGAAAGUGAAGGUCGUCCCUGGUUGUCGACCGAGGGAGGAUGGGCCGCGUCGCGCAUGCGGCUUCGCACUCCCGGGGCGUCUCGUUCUCAUCACGAGAAGAGGCGCACCCAGAGCGUACACGUUGGAACCCGAAAGAUGGUGAACUAUGCCUGAUCAGGACG
rnacentral:rRNA from 1 species